rnacentral:misc_RNA from 1 species
GAAACGCGAUAGUUAAUGUGAAUUGCAGAAUUCAGUGAAUCAUCGAGUCUUUGAACGCACAUUGCGCCCAUAGGUAUUCCUUUGGGCAUGUCUGUUUGAGCGUCAUUACAACCCUCAGCUAACGGCUGGUUUUGAACCUGAACGGGUGACACCGCGCCGGUUUUAAAGUUGUAAGCUCUGCUGGCCGCUCUGCCCAACCAGAACAUAGUAAGCACUACUUGUCCGGGUGAAGCUGAACGGUACGGCCUGAACAAAACCUACCCACUCUCAAGGUUUGACCUCAGAUCAGACAAGGAUACCCGCUGAACUUAAGC